CUUAUACCGGCGACCGGCGGACGGGUGCGUAACGCGUAUGUAACCUACCUUUGACAGGGGGAUAACAUCGAGAAAUUGGUACUAAUACCCCAUAACAUCACCGGAGGCAUCUUCGGUGGUUGAAAACUCAGGUGGUCAGAGAUGGACAUGCGUUGUAUUAGCUAGUUGGUGAGGUAACGGCUCACCAAGGCGACGAUACAUAGGGGGACUGAGAGGUCAACCCCCCACAUUGGUACUGAGACACGGACCAAACUCCUACGGAAGGCAGCAG
rnacentral:rRNA from 1 species